GCAGGCUGCAACUCGCCUGCAUGAAGCUGGAAUUGCUAGUAAUCGCGGAUCAGCAUGCCGCGGUGAAUACGUUCCCGGGCCUUGUACACACCGCCCGUCACACCAUGAGAGUCGGGAACACCCGAAGUCCGUAGUCUAACCCGCAAGGGAGGGCGCGGCCGAAGGUGGGUCCGGUAAUUGGGGUGAAGUCGUAACAAGGUAUC
rnacentral:rRNA from 1 species